UACGUAGGGGGCAAGCGUUGUCCGGAUUUAUUGGGCGUAAAGAGCGUGCAGGCGGUUUGGUAGGUCCGUUGUGAAAACUCGAGGCUCAACCUCGAGACGCCGAUGGAAACCAUCAGACUAGAGUCCGGAAGAGGAGAGUGGAAUUCCUGGUGUAGCGGUGAAAUGCGCAGAUAUCAGGAGGAACACCGGUGGCGAAGGCGGUGAUCUGGGCCGACACUGACGCUGUAGAGCGAAAGCGUGGGGAGCGAACAGG
rnacentral:rRNA from 1 species